GAGAAAAGUAAAAAGCAACAAAGGAGACCUCUUGUGUGUUCAUAGUACCAGACCCUUUAAAUUUACAUACUGGCUUCACUUCACUUCACAAGCUCAAAAGUACCAUCAGAGCAGGCAGGUUGGCUUGGCUCGGCCAAGAGAUGCUCUCUCUCUUCUUCUGGAAUCUUUAAACAACUAAAUUCACUGGAGGAUGGCAAGAUACAGACGACAGCGCCGCACCCGCGGCAGAAGAGAGAGGAAAGUUCCUCCAAGUAGAAGGAACAGGAAGAACAGGAAGUUCUAUAAUGAACCACUCGGAAAGAAGAAAGGGUACACACGUGUCUGUGCCACGUACUACUACUGGAAAAGAAGUAGAUAACCUCCUGCAAUUCCUUUUCUCAUUCCCAUUGAUCAUCACCACCAUCUUCAUUGUGAAAACAAGCAGUUCCAUCGCACAAGACACCAAGGACCAGAUAGCCAGAUGGAAGACUUGGCAAGUUCCAGGGCCCCUCCUAGUAAAGGAGAAUGCCAGACCUGUCAAUAAACCCAUAAAAUGCA